rnacentral:tRNA from 1 species
GGGGGCGUGGUGUAGCGGUUAACAUACUGCCCUGUCAAGGCAGAGAUCGCGGGUUCGAAACCCGUCGGCCCCG